UCCCAACCCCUCCUACACCUCUGGGGAGGAGAUGCCCAGAGGGUCUCACCUGGGGUGUCAUGUCUACCCGCAGGCUCCUCAGUUGUGAUGAUGGUCAACAACCUGGGUGGCCUGUCAUUCCUGGAACUGGGCAUCAUAAAAAAACCGUGAAAACUGCAAUGCAAAUGCUUGAAAAUAUCCUCUCAUUUGUUCUAAGGGCAGGCUGGGCUGUGAUCCCAGGGUGUGCUCACUUUGCAGAG
rnacentral:lncRNA from 1 species